rnacentral:tRNA from 1 species
CCUUCGAUAGCUCAGUUGGUAGAGCGGUGGACUGUAGAGGUUUUAGAGCUUCAUUAAGGUAGAUAUCCAUAGGUCGCUGGUUCAAAUCCGGCUCGAAGGA